rnacentral:rRNA from 1 species
GACGAACGCUGGCGGCGUGCUUAACACAUGCAAGUCGAACGGAAAGGCCCAGCUUGCUGGGUGCUCGAGUGGCGAACGGGUGAGUAACACGUGGGUGAUCUGCCCCUAACUUCGGGAUAAGCUUGGGAAACUGGGUCUAAUACCGGAUAGGACAAUCGUUUAGUGUCGGUUGUGGAAAGUUUUUUCGGCUAGGGAUGAGCCCGCGGCCUAUCAGCUUGUUGGUGGGGUAAUGGCCUACCAAGGCGUCGACGGGUAGCCGGCCUGAGAGGGUGGACGGCCACAUUGGGACUGAGAUACGGCCCAGACUCCUACGGGAGGCAGCAGCGGGGAAUAUUGCACAAUGGGCGCAAGCCUGAUGCAGCGACGCCGCGUGGGGGAUGACGGCCUUCGGGUUGUAAACCUCUUUCGACAGGGACGAAGCUUUGGUGACGGUACCUGUAUAAGAAGCACCGGCUAACUACGUG